rnacentral:rRNA from 1 species
AGAGUUUGAUUCUGGCUCAGAACGAACGCUGGCGGCGUGGAUAAGACAUGCAAGUCGAACGAGAGAAUUGCUAGCUUGCUAAUAAUUCUCUAGUGGCGCACGGGUGAGUAACACGUGAGUAACCUGCCCCCGAGAGCGGGAUAGCCCUGGGAAACUGGGAUUAAUACCGCAUAGUAUCGAAAGAUUAAAGCAGCAAUGCGCUUGGGGAUGGGCUCGCGGCCUAUUAGUUAGUUGGUGAGGUAACGGCUCACCAAGGCGAUGACGGGUAGCCGGUCUGAGAGGAUGUCCGGCCACACUGGAACUGAGACACGGUCCAGACACCUACGGGUGGCAGCAGUCGAGAAUCAUUCACAAUGGGGGAAACCCUGAUGGUGCGACGCCGCGUGGGGGAAUGAAGGUCUUCGGAUUGUAAACCCCUGUCAUGUGGGAGCAAAUUAAAAAGAUAGUACCACAAGAGGAAGAGACGGCUAACUCUGUGCCAGCAGCCGCGGUAAUACAGAGGUCUCAAGCGUUGUUCGGAAUCACUGGGCGUAAAGCGUGCGUAGGCUGUUUCGUAAGUCGUGUGUGAAAGGCGCGGGCUCAACCCGCGGACGGCACAUGAUACUGCGAGACUAGAGUAAUGGAGGGGGAACCGGAAUUCUCGGUGUAGCAGUGAAAUGCGUAGAUAUCGAGAGGAACACUCGUGGCGAAGGCGGGUUCCUGGACAUUAACUGACGCUGAGGCACGAAGGCCAGGGGAGCGAAAGGGAUUAGAUACCCCUGUAGUCCUGGCAGUAAACGGUGCACGCUUGGUGUGCGGGGAAUCGACCCCCUGCGUGCCGGAGCUAACGCGUUAAGCGUGCCGCCUGGGGAGUACGGUCGCAAGAUUAAAACUCAAAGAAAUUGACGGGGACCCGCACAAGCGGUGGAGUAUGUGGUUUAAUUCGAUGCAAC